CACAGACACUAUCCUGGGCCCACUCGCGCGUCACCAGACACCUCGGCUAUCCUCGCCCCAGUUUGCGCCGCGCCCGUCAUGGCCACCCCGUCCGUGGUGCAGGCCCCUCUAUGCUUCGUUUCUCCACAGGGUGAUUCCAUGUCCCGCUCGCGAUGGCCCCUGCACUACCGCUUUCGAUUCAAGGGUCGCCUCGCCGCAGACAAAGCCCACGAGGGCGCACAAGGAGAGCCCCGACGGUUUUGUCACGAAGCCAGAGAUGCUGACCGAUGGGAUAGUGAAGCUGAUGAUUUGGCACCGCACCAUUCCCAGCAUGCAAGGGUAAGCGACCCAAGGGUUCUUAUCUGUCCACUAUUUAAUCAAAUCCCCGUGGCGUUUUCGAUUCCUUUUUGUGUGCUCAGUUCUUUCUUUGUGUCAUGAGUUUUAGAACUUGAUUGGGAUGGUUUUUGUUCCAUGAGAAUUAUUAGGGUUUGAUCGGGAUGAUUCGAGUAUUAGUUCUUACGGUCACUGGAUUUUGCAUAUUGUCAUAGUCUAAUGCCAUUAAAUUUUGAAGGUAGCGAUACUGUUUUCACCCUAUUGAAUAGGGUAUAUGAUGAUGUUGGCAAUCACUAGAGCAGGUAAUAUUUUGUUAUUAAAGUUUUCAUGUCGUUUCUGCACUGCCAUGGCUUGAUCUGUGAGGAUCCAUACAUGCGUAUGGUUUAUGCUUGUAAGUUUUCUCCUUCCCUUGCUUUACACAUCUGCCAUAUCAUGCUUGACAAACACAUCAGUUUUGGCCCUAAUGUUCCGGUGUGUUUCUGUGUAACUUUGCCCCUUUCUUUGUGCCAAGAUUUUGUUCAUUGGGUCUGCAUGGGCUACCAGGGAUUAAGGUUAAUGAUUCAAUGAUGCUCUUUGUAUUAUGCUUAUGGUUGAGUAUGGCGUUUAACACUAACUACGAGAUAGGUUAGAACAGAAUUGGAAGACCAGCUUCUCUACACAUAUAGAUGCCAUUUUCUCGAUGGGGGGUUCAGUGAUUUCAAGGCGCUGCCUAGAGCAAGUGGAGAAUUGAGUGAUUUUUAGGAGCUCCUACGCUAUUUUUUAUAGAUGCCAUUUUCUCGAUGGGGAGAACAGAAUCGGGACAGGAAUGGAGAUGGAGGAAGACGACCGAGCCGCUCGAGUGCUGCUGAGCUCCCAGUGUCUCUGUCUCUGAUGAGCUACUAUUGUUCCUUGCUGUUGCUGCUUUCGGCACUGAUCUGGCUGGCGGCUCUUGGCUGAGAAAGAUCAAAAAACACUACCAGCCACCGCCAUCUCACACAGGCUGAAUAUCUAAGGAAGGGGAUGGUUAAGCCUCCUACUGCUCCCCUUGUUGGAUGUUUGAAAUGGUGAUGUUGUUGUGUUGUCUGCAUUUGGAGCUGCUGUGGAGGAGGUACACACUAAAUGAGAAGAAAGUGCAGAUUGUUGAUACGACUUGCUCUUGUUUUUCAAAGGAGGCACUUUUAAAUUCGCUACCUAGACUUUUGGGCUCACUGUCUUCUUCGGUUCGGUGAACAUGGACACAAUGCAACCAAGCAUGUAGCCUCAUUAAUCAGUGUAGAUACGCCUAAAGUCGGCCCUGACAUACAGCAACGCACAACCAAGAAAAGAGCGUUCGAUCUGUUAGAGCUCGAUCAUCGCCGAAAAAGGCUAUGAAGUAACUGUUUGUAAGUCAACUUGAACGUAAAGACACUCCUGAUGAGCCUAGGUAUGUACUUCCUUACUGAUAAACAAUUAGCAGAUUGCAAUCGCCAAUUGUUAUGUUCAACAAACAUAUAUACAUCUACUACGGUUGAACUUCUACGUUCCAAAUUAGAGGCUCUAGAAUUUAUAAAACGGAACUAGGAAAGGAAUACUCUCUUCUAAAAAACAUACAUGUGCGUCUGUAGAUAACUUCAUCUAACAUCACAUAGUGUCACCUUAACACAAAGAAUUAAAGGCUCUGUCAAAGUUUACGAUACUAUACAUCCAAGCUCCUCGAGUUGUUGUUAUUUUUGGCUUGACUGAACUGCUAGAUGGUUAGAUUCAGAUCAACUCUGAAUUGAUUUUGAUGUAUAUCAAAAAGGGCUUUGUUGUAUGUAUAUAGAAUUUUUUGAAUAUGAACUAGCUCAGGCAUUUAAGAGUCUUGUUCAAAUGUUUAGAUAUUUCAGCCAUUGCACAAUCUGGUAGUCUUCAGGCCAUUACCUGUGUUGUAUAGUCAUACCAACCACUGCACACUCAAUCAGUCUUUUGAACAUUUUUGUACGUAUAAAUAGAGCAGGAUAGUAACACAUUUGUCUUGAUGCUAACAAAUAGCGAUCAUCGAGUAUCUACCAAAACAAUAUUAUUGGUUCUUUUUAUGUGAGCAUAGAUAACAACUUUAAAAAAAUAUGUCUAAUGAUGGGAAAAUAUGUCUCUCACAAAAAUGACUUCUACCCUAGACAAACACACUUGGGUUGUUGGUUUUAGUAAUAUCUUCAUUUUUUGCAUUAUGUUUUAAGAGUAGAAAUUUUCUUAAAUUAUAUUAUAAAUGCGGAGCAUUUCAUCAAAAGGCCCAUAACUUAAAAUUUUAAGUAUCACCUGAUGACAGAAAGGUGUGCCACAUUCCAUGUACCUAGCAGAUUAUGUGUUUAGUAGUGGCACAAAAACCAAUUCAUUUGUAGCUUCUUCCCACUCUUUAACACACUCAUUUUCAUCUAUAUAAGAGAUCCCCUCUCGCUUGAAUUUUAUGAAACCUCAAGGUUUUUCAGCAUUGAAAACUUGUGUUGGUUGGCUAGAUGACUUUUUUUGUUUUGUACUUCCUGCAUACCAAAAUGAUCAGAAGUCUGAUCCAUAAACCAUUUGCAAUAAAGUCAAUCAAUAUUUUUCAGAAGGAUAAAAUUAACUUCCAUCACCAAAUUUAGGUGUUACAAUUUGAAGGCUUUCCCCCACCUUCUCUAUAUGCCUUGUGGUUUGGUUGUGGGAAAACUUAUCUAUAUUAACAAUGUACACUUUGAAGGCUAUCUGAUCGCCACAGCAGGAUCCAAAUAAUCUCAGAAUAUUAGGUAAGAAACAUUAGGCCAGUUCUUGGUUAGUAAGGCCGUGUUUGGUUUCAUACGGAUUAUAGAAUCUGGAGUUUGCGCUUGAUUUCCAAAAAUCAGUACCAAUCAGGAAGUACAGAAGUAGUAGUUUAAUCAAGGCACGCUUGAUUUCCAAAUGUUCUUGUUUAAUCAAGGCGCACUUGAUUACCAAUCAGCAAGUACAGAAGUAUUACCAAUCAGCAAGAUUGACCGGUUGUGUGAUUUGGUUAGUAAGGAGCACUUCAUUUCCAAAAAUCAGUACCAAUCAGCAAGUAGAUACUGAAUAUUCUGAGUCGGUUUGGUUUCCUUUUCUACUGAAUGUUCUUGUUUCUAUACUGAAUGUUCUUGUUUCCAUUUCUACUGAUACUAAAUCGCUUAUCAUUGCAGCACAUAAGUAGUAGUUUAAUGUAUUUGCUCUGAUUCCAUAUGAUUGAAAUUGUUAAAAUCACAGAAAUGUUGUUUUUUUGAUGAUAAAUCUAUGAUGUUGUCCUUGCCUACAAAUCUAAAUAUUUUGGUACAUUAGGGAAAUUUUGAAAGUUUAUUGUUCGCAUUCUAGGACUAAUCGUCUUCCACUAUUUAAGUCAGACUGAUGAUUUGCAUAGUGAGUAUACCAAAUGUGCUCUCGUUGAGUGCUGCUAUCAGGUUGAACUGUUUUAUAUAUCUUUCAGUUUGAACAGACAUAUUUCACAUUAAUUGGAAACAACUAACCUAAAGAUUUCAAGGCGUAACCAUAACCUAUUAAGUCUUUGCAAUUUUUUGGCGCAAAACUGUAUUUGCAUUUUUAAUCAAGGCAACAACUAUAACUUCUUUGCAAGUCUAUUUUCCAUCUCAUGUUUACAGUAUAGUUGAUUUUACAAACUGAGGGAGGUGCCGAGGGAGCAAAAUUUUCUCAGUUUGGCGCUGAUUUAUCAAGAUCAAUAAAGUGCAAGACACACUUUCCACUAAUGGAAGCAGACACCUAAAAAUACUGGAGAGUAUGUGCACCUGACCAAAGAAUUACUAACGAGUUGUGAAAGUAUCCAAUGACAGGUUCUAGCACUGUUGGUUCAAGGAAAUGACACAACAAUAUGGUGAAAUGGAAAUGGAGCACAGGCUGCACAUGAGUCUCUCAAAAGGAGCUCACGCAACACUAUCGGUACUGUCGCCGAGGACAAGGUUGUCCCUAGAGUCCAUUCAAUUGACAUGGAAACGUGUUUUGUUUUUGUUGCUGAUGAUGACGAUCUGGAUGGUGAAGAGUGAGCUAGACUCAUAUUUGUUAUCAACAUGUGAUUUUUAUGGAUAUUUUAUUCUAUUGUAUCCUUGUGGUGCAUUAGCUGUUUUUUACUUUCUUCAAGGAAAACAUUUCGGUAAAGAUAAUAGUGCCGCUGACAAUAGAAGCUGUCGAGAAGCGCAGGGAAGUGUUCAGCCCUUGUGCUCCCUCUGAUGAUAUCAGCCAGGCACUGGAGGAGGGUGCAGAAGCAACAGUGGUUGAUUUCACGAGAUUGAGGUGCAACAAGGGAGCAGAAUCCGGUCUCUGAUGAAUUUGAGCUGCUGAACGACAUCAAAUCUAAUGACGGAGUAGAAGUAGUUGAUCUAACUGAAGGUCUCUGAUGAAUCUGAGCUGCUGAACGAUAUCUAACUGAAGGUGGAAAGAAAGAGCAGAAUUUGGGUGCAGAGACUGAACAUGACAGAGGGAACGCAGGGGCUGAACUGGGGGCACUGGGGCGCAAGAGCAGAACCUGAAUGCUCGUUCUCGUUUGACGGCGGGAGUUUGCAGGCAUAAGGUGACUGCUGACGAAGGUACGGAAGCGACUGAAGGGGUGGUGUCAGCUGCGCAUGUUCCAGAGGAUGGCACCACUGUUACACCAGGAACUGGGAGGAGCACUGAUCAUCAGUACUCUGAAAGGGCGAGCGAUUCUUCAACCGCUGUCGGAUCAUCGAAGGGCCACAACGCGAGCCUGAGGAGGCUAUACAGGUCGAUGAACGUGCCGGUGCCGUGCCCCCUGCCAUCGCUCGUCCAGCUGAUGGCGGCCUCCAAGCGGCCUAGAGUCUCAAACUGCGUAGCUGUAGGUUCAGUUUUUGCUGCUGCAAAAUGAAACCCAGUUCUUAGUUGUUACGAGUAUGUGCACUAUGGCCUGACAACGAAUUCGUAUUUAUUUGUUCUGUGAAGAGGCAGAUCAUCAGGGAUCUCAAUCGUUCUGAAUGCGUUAUUUUCCAUCA